rnacentral:rRNA from 1 species
AUUGAACGCUGGCGGCAGGCCUAACACAUGCAAGUCGAGCGGAGCGGCGGACGGGUGAGUAAUGCAUAGGAAUCUACCUGGUAGUGGGGGGUAAAGUACGGAAACGGGCGGUAAUACCGCAUACUAUCAGAUGAGCGUAGGUCGGAGUAGCUAGUUGGUGGGGUAAAGGCCUACCAAGCCGACGAUCCGUCACUGGUCUGAGUGGAUGAUCAGUCACACUGGAACUGAGACACGGCCCAGACUCCUACGGGAGGCAGCAGUGGGGAAUAUUGGACAAUGGGCGAAAGCCUGAUGCAGCCAUGCCGCGUGUGUGAAGAAGGUCUUCGGAUUGUAAAGCACUUUCAGUUGGGAGGCGUUACCAACAGAAUAAGCACCGGCUAACUUCGUGCCAGCAGCCGCGGUAAUAC